AUUGAACGCUGGCGGCAGGCCUAACACAUGCAAGUCGAGCGGAUGAAGGGGGCUUGCUCCUGGAUUCAGCGGCGGACGGGCGAGUAAUGCCUAGGAAUCUGCCUGGUAGUGGGGGAUAACGUCCGGAAACGGGCGCUAAUACCGCAUACGUCCUGAGGGAGAAAGUGGGGGAUCUUCGGACCUCACGCCAUCAGAUGAGCCUAGGUCGGAUUAGCUAGUUGGUGGGGUAAAGGCCUACCAAGGCGACGAUCCGUAGCUGGUCUGAGAGGAUGAUCAGUCACACUGGAACUGAGACACGGUCCAGACUCCUACGGGAGGCAGCAGUGGGGAAUAUUGGACAAUGGGCGAAAGCCUGAUCCAGCCAUGCCGCGUGUGUGAAGAAGGUCUUCGGAUUGUAAAGCACUUUAAGUUGGGAGGAAGGGCAGUAAGUUAAUACCUUGCUGUUUUGACGUUACCAACAGAAUAAGCACCGGCUAACUUCGUG
rnacentral:rRNA from 1 species